CUUCUUCCUGUGGAGUUUUAUCUUCUGCUCCUCUGGCCACCCUCCUGAUGGAUCCCUGUGGUGCCAGGCAGGAAUGACCUGCUUAAGGACCCAGCGAGCUCCCAGGACCUUUCUGCUGCUUCCUCUACCCGUAUAUUUUGCUUGGUUCUCUACAUUGACUCAGCUCCAGCGAUUCCUGAGGAAUCUCAUCCACACUACCCUAUGGACUAAAAGGAAAACUCUUCAUGUGGUGUUAGCACGGAGACAAGAAAGAGAGAAAGACAACAUCAUGCUUUGCUGUCUGUGUGUGAACUGAGUAACAGCUGUGAAGGAUCAGUCACCAAAAGACUUCGAAAGAAGAGGCUUGCUUGGUCAUG